AUGAAGUGGCAGCCGUUCAAGUCCACGUUCGUGCUGAACAAGAUAUGUGAGCUCAUCUCUAGUGGAGUUAGGACUGACAAGGGCUUCAAGGAGGUGCACUUGAACACCAUUGCGAAGCAGGUGUUCGAGUUCUGUGGGCAAGAGGUGUCUGCCACCCAGUACAUCUUCUCCUUCGGGCUGGCAACUGGGAAGCAUGCCAUGGGCUCGGGUGAGCCUCUUGGUUCUCCCAUGCCAGACUUCCCUGGGACACCGGACGUCGAGGAUAUUGAUGGCCCUGACAAGCCCGUUGCGAAGCCCUUCGACAAGCCAUUUGACCCCGUCCAUGAUAGGAAGAGGAAGAGAUGA
rnacentral:rRNA from 1 species